rnacentral:rRNA from 1 species
AUCUAUGGCCAGGCCUCCCUGAACACUCCCAAUCUCGUCUGAUCUCGGAAGCUAAACAGGGUCAGGCCUGGUUAGUACUUGGAUGGGAGAGCACCUAGGAAGACCGGGUGCCGUAGGUG